UACGAAGGGGGCUAGCGUUGUUCGGAAUCACUGGGCGUAAAGCGCACGUAGGCGGAUGUGCCAGUCAGGGGUGAAAUCCCGGAGCUCAACUUCGGAACUGCCCCUGAUACAGCACGUCUUGAGUCCGGAAGAGGUGGGUGGAAUUCCUAGUGUAGAGGUGAAAUUCGUAGAUAUUAGGAAGAACACCGGUGGCGAAGGCGGCCUGCUGGGCAGUUUAGCUGACACUGAGGCGCGACAGCGUGGGGAGCAAACAGG
rnacentral:rRNA from 1 species